rfam:Arabidopsis lyrata subsp. lyrata unplaced genomic scaffold ARALYscaffold_2, whole genome shotgun sequence.
AUCUUUGCGCUUGGGGCAAUGACGCAGCUAAUGAGGUUCUAACCGAGGCGCGUCUAUUGCUGGUUGAAAACUAUUUCCAAACCCCCUCAUGGGCUUGGGCUCGACCUAUGGCCUUUGAGAAUUUUUAGAAGGGUUCCUUUCGGGGUAAAGCC